AAUUUUGAAUAUAAAUAAGAAGGAAAUUUAUAAAAAUUAUUAGGUAGAAUUUUAAUUUUUAAAAAUAACAACGCUUUUUAUUCAAGAAAAGUAUGAUAAGGACCAGGAUUAGAUACCCUGUUACUCAUAAUAAAAAAUUUUUGGAAUAGUAUUAUUUAUGAAAUUUAACGGAUUUGGCGGCAAGAUAGCCACUUAGAGGAACCUGCCCUGUAAACGAUGAGCCACGAUUAACCUUACUUUUAUUAGGAUUCAGUUUGUAUACCGCUGUUGUCAGUUAGUUUCCUUAGAAAACUUUCGUACAUGAAAAAUUCAAGGACUUCAAGUAAAGGUGCAGCUUAUGUAAAAGAUAGAGGUGGGUUACAAUUAAAAGAAUAAUAUGGAUAAAGUAAAGAAAAAACUUUUGAAGGUGGAUUUAAUAGUAAAGUUUAAUAAGACUUGAUUAGAGCUCUAUCUUGUGUACACACCGCCCGUCGCUCUCUUUUUUAAAC
rnacentral:rRNA from 1 species